rnacentral:rRNA from 1 species
ACGGAGGGUGCAAGCGUUGCUCGGAAUUAUUGGGCGUAAAGGGUAGGUAGGUGGUCUCAUUUGUCUGGGGUGAAAGCCUUGAGCUUAACUCAAGAAGUGCCCCAGAAACGGUGAGACUCGAGUCCUGGAGAGGGUCGUGGAAUUCCCGGUGUAGCGGUGAAAUGCGUAGAGAUCGGGAGGAACACCAGAGGCGAAGGCGGCGACCUGGACAGGUACUGACACUGAGACGCGAAAGCGUGGGGAGCAAACAGGA